rnacentral:rRNA from 1 species
GACGAACGCUGGCGGCGUGCUUAACACAUGCAAGUCGAACGGGAUUUAGUAGACAGAAGCCUCGGCUAAAGAUUACUAAUGAGAGUGGCGAACGGGUGAGUAACGCGUGAGCAACCUGCCUAUGACAGUGGGAUAGCCUCGGGAAACCGGGAUUAAUACCGCAUCAAAUCGUAGAAACACAUGUUUUAACGGUCAAAGAUUUAUCGGUCAUAGAUGGGCUCGCGUCUGAUUAGCUAGUUGGUGAGAUAACAGCCCACCAAGGCGACGAUCAGUAGCCGGUCUGAGAGGAUGAACGGCCACAUUGGAACUGAGACACGGUCCAAACUCCUACGGGAGGCAGCAGUGGGGAAUAUUGCACAAUGGGGGAAACCCUGAUGCAGCGACGCCGCGUGAACGAAGAAGGUAUUCGUAUCGUAAAGUUCUGUCCUAUGGGAAGAUAAUGACAGUACCAUAGAAGAAAGCUCCGGCUAAAUACGUG